UACGUAGGUGGCGAGCGUUGUCCGGAAUCAUUGGGCGUAAAGAGCGCGUAGGUGGUUUGUCAGGUCUGAUGUGAAAUCCUGGGGCUCAACUCCAGAACUGCAUCGGAAACCGGCUUACUAGAGUCUGGGAGAGGAGAGUGGAAUUCCUGGUGUAGCGGUGAAAUGCGUAGAUAUCAGGAGGAACACCGGUAGCGAAGGCGGCUCUCUGGAACAGUACUGACGCUGAGGCGCGAAAGCUAGGGGAGCGAACAGG
rnacentral:rRNA from 1 species